rfam:Camelus ferus unplaced genomic scaffold scaffold200, whole genome shotgun sequence.
GACGGUAUAGCUCAAGUGGUAGGGUGCAUGCCUAGCAUGCACGAGGUCCUGGGUUCAAUCCCCAGUACCUCUU